rnacentral:rRNA from 1 species
AGAGUUUGAUCCUGGCUCAGACUGAACGCUGGCGGCAUGGCUAAAGCAUGCAAGUCGAACGAGCCCGCAAGGGCAAGUGGCGGACGGGUUAGUAAUACGAUCGAACGUACCCCGAAGUGGGGGAUAGCGGCGGGAAACUGCCGGUAAUACCCCAUGUGCUCUUCGGAGGAAAGAUUUAUCGCUUUGGGAUCGGCGAUCGUCCUAUCAGCUAGUUGGCGGGGUAAAGGCCCACCAAGGCGAAGACGGGUAGCAGGUGUGAGAGCACGACCUGCAACAUCGGAACUGAGAUACUGUCCGGACUCCUACGGGAGGCUGCAGCAACGAAUCUUCCGCAAUGGGCGCAAGCCUGACGGAGCAAUGCCGCGUGUGGGAUGAAGUGCCUCCGGCAUGUAAACCACUGUCAGAGGAUAGAAACACUGAUCAUCUUCAAAGGAAGUGGCGACUAACUCUGUGCCAGCAGUCGCGGUAAUACAGAGGCCACGAGCGUUAGUCGGAAUUACUGGGCUUAAAGGGUGCGUAGGCGGUUAUUCAAGCGUCCUGUGAAAGCCUCCCGCUCAACGGGAGAACAGCAGGGCGAACUGGGUGACUCGAGGUUGGUAGGGGCUCACAGAACAGUCGGUGGACCGGUGAAAUGGGUAGAGAUCGACUGGAAUGCCGAUGGCGAAGGCGGUGAGCUGGGCCAAAUCUGACGCUGAGGCACGAAAGCGUGGGGAGCAAACAGGAUUAGAUACCCUGGUAGUCC